GACGAACGCUGGCGGCGUGCCUAAUACAUGCAAGUAGAACGCUGAAGGAAGGAGCUUGCUCUUUCUGGAUGAGUUGCGAACGGGUGAGUAACGCGUAGGUAACCUGCCUGGUAGCGGGGGAUAACUAUUGGAAACGAUAGCUAAUACCGCAUAAAAUUGAUUAUUGCAUGAUAGUCAAUUAAAAGGUGCAACUGCACCACUACCAGAUGGACCUGCGUUGUAUUAGCUAGUUGGUGGGGUAACGGCUCACCAAGGCGACGAUACAUAGCCGACCUGAGAGGGUGAUCGGCCACACUGGGACUGAGACACGGCCCAGACUCCUACGGGAGGCAGCAGUAGGGAAUCUUCGGCAAUGGACGGAAGUCUGACCGAGCAACGCCGCGUGAGUGAAGAAGGUUGUCGGAUCGUAAAGCUCUGUUGUAGGAGAAGAACGAGUGUGAGAGUGGAAAGUUCACACUGUGACGGUAUCUUACCAGAAAGGGACGGCUAACUACGUG
rnacentral:rRNA from 1 species